ensembl:lncRNA
GUUGAACCCGCCGGGGAAUCUGUUUUUCUUUUUUAAUUUGUGGACUUGGAUUUCCAGCCUGAGCGCUCACGGUCCCCGAGGGCAUUGAGUGGAGCUCCUUUGUUUUGUGUGAAGUGUCCUUUGUACAGUCUGGGCCUCCCUGACGGAGAAAUCAGGAUGACAAAGGCUCUGCCGCCCGGCGUUUAGAACCGCUCGUCUCUACCUUCGAUCUUCACUCUUGAUUUACUGUGUGCCCUCUUCAUUGAUGUAUUCAGUGAUUUUGGCUCUCAAAUUCACUAACGACCUCCCUUUUACUCCCUUGCCUUCCUUGUUCUCCCUCACCCUUCCCUCUCCUUCAAUUUUGUUUUGUCUUUCCGACCCUUUUUUAAUCUCUUCCCUCUCCUCCCUGUCCUCCCCUUCUGUCCACAGCAGUGCAGUCCUCCUCUCUAGGGCGGACUAAGGUCCAGCCAACAGUCAUUGUAUCAGAAACAGACUCCACCCCCUCAGCAGACCCUCGCCCCGCCCCUUCAGUGGUCGUUUCCUCUGACUCCGCCCCCUCAGUGGUCGUUUCCUCAGCUGCCUCUGACUCCGCCUCCUCAGUGGUGGAUUCCUCUGACUCCGCCCCCUCAGUGGUCGUUUCCUCAGCUGCCUCUGACUCCGCCCCCUCAGUGGUCGAUUCCUCUGACUCCGCCCCCUCAGUGGUCGAUUCCUCUGACUCCACCCCCUCAGUGGUCGUAUCCUCUGAGUCCGCCCCCUCGGUGGUCGAUUCCUCUGACUCCACCCCCUCAGUGGUCGUUUCCUCUGCCCCCUCAGCUGCCUCUGACUCCGCCUCCUCAGUGGUAGUUUCCUCCGCCCCCUCAGCUGCCUCUGACUCCGCCCCCUCAGUGGUCGUUUCCUCAGCAGCCUCUGACUCCGCCCCCUCAGUGGUCGUAUCCUCAGCUGCCUCUGACUCCGCCCCCUCAGUUGUCGUUUCCUCUGAAUCAGUCCCCUCAGUAGCCGAUUCCUCUGACUCCACCCCCUCAGUGGUCGUAUCCUCUGACUCCGCCCCCUCAGUGGUUGUUUCCUCUGACUCAGUCCCCUCAGUAGCCGAUUCCUCUGACUCCAGCCCCUCAGUGCUUGUUUCCUCUGACUCCGCCCCCUCAGUUGUCGAUUCCUCUGACUCCGCCCCCUCAGUGGCCGAUUCCUCUGACUCCACCCUCUCAGUGGUCGUGUCCUCUGAGUCCGCCCCCUCAGUGGUCGCUUCCUCGGCCCCUUCAGCUGCAUCUAACUCCGCCCCCUCAGUUGUCGUUUCCCCUGACUCCACCCCCUCAGUGGUCCUUGACUCCACCCCCUCAACAGCCCCUUCUGUGGUGCCUCAACCUGACGCCUCAGAUGAUUCUGACUCCUCCAACUAUGAGAGCGACUCCUCUUCAACAUCAUACGACCCCGCCCCCUCUGAGGUGUCUGACCCCGCCCCCUCUGAGGUGUCUGACCCCGCCCCCUCCGAGGUGUCUGACCCCGCCCCCUCUGAGGUUCCUGACCCCGCCCCUUCUACAGUAUCUGCCACUGACAUGGAGGUAGCGGUUGUGGAGCAGGAUGCACCUGCUACACCUCCACUGGGAGAGACCGGAGACCUCCCAGCGCUGACUGACGCCGCCACCACCGAGCCAGCAGGGGGCGACCAGGACGCACCUGAACCCUCCGUCAUCGUGUCCUCAGGCUGAGGCUCCCGGGGACCCCCAAAGACACCCUGCUAAGGUUCCAAAGGAGAGAGUGAUGGAGAGCGGAGAGGAGGAAGGUUGGCCCGCGGCAGAGUGACGCUGACGGACUCGUAGCAUACUGAUCAUACUGAUCCCGGUCAAGGGACUGGAAGGGGUCACCAUCAUCAAUGUCACUACCAUGAUGUCACUACCACACUGACAUCACCACAAUGUCACUACCAUGAUGGGGGCCCUGUUGAGUGACAUCAUGGACCAAACUCUACUUUGGCUGUGCUGUCUCCCCCCAUAUGCCCUCCUUUUUUUUUUUUCCUCUUGAGUUGUGUUUAGGCAACACUAGGCGGUGGAAGACACUGAAGCCUUUUUUUUUUUUAAUCUAUAUAUUUUGGAAAGCUUUCAUCAUCCUCCGCAUCCAGGAGAAAACGACUUUUAUCUCCCCAUAUCUGCAAAUGAACGGCGUGGGUAGUGGUGUGUAUUUGCUUUGUUCUGGCCGCACAUUACUGCAGUAACGGCCGCACGGGAAGUGACUGAAGUCCUAGGAAUUAAGUCGCCUAAUUGGCUCUUUGAGGCUGACAGUCGCCCAAAAAAAAAUUUAUGUCUUCGCUUGGUUUUAAUGUUUCUAUGAGUUUAUAAAAUACCAAAUGUCAGUUAAUUUUUUUCCUCCGCAAACAAGAGCUCUCUCUCUAUUGAUGAAUAAUUGUCACCAUAUGUGCUGAAUGUGUGCAUUGGUGUGUUCCCAGAUUAUGAAAUAUGUUAUCAUGUUGCUAUAUGUGGGUGAAAGAAAUUGAACACGGGUUUGGAGGGCAAAACAACUGAAUUUAGCGCUGUUACCCCUCAUAAAUGUUUAUCUUCAGUUUGUGUCUGAAGCAACCUAAACAGAUUGGAGUUAUGGGUCAAUCAUGAAGACUCUAGACUGCUGCUGUGCAUGGGCCUCAGUCAACCGGCGGCCAUCUUGGUUCCAAAACGCUAGCAGGGUAUUCGAACGGAACACGGAAUUCUGCGUUCAGUUCCAUCACUACAAGUGUUUACAACAAGAUGACCGCCAGGUGAAGGGGGGCCAACAAACCUGUGUUUGCGGGAAUGGAUUUUUAUUUAAACUAAACAAUCAUGCAUCAACCAAGGAAAGAAUUUAUCCAUUUUUAAACUUUGUCGUCUGCUAUACUGUCUGCUAUACUGAGAAUCCUUCUCAUGUGGAGAAUAUGAAAUAUAUUUCCCCUAUUUUAUUAGCCAGGGGAGGCAUUUUAUUUAGAAGCAUUUUUUUUGGUCUAAUCAAGUUUACUGAUUUUUACAAAUUGCCUCCCCUAGCUUUAAGAGCUGUGAGAAUAUACGGCUAAUCUUACGUACUGACAGGUGACAGUGGUUGAAACCUGACUUGACCUCAGCAUACUACAAAGUGCUUUAGGAUGAUAUUUUUUACUACAUUUGAAUAGGUCUAGCUUUUAUUUUCAAUGAGGGUCCUGUGUUGAAAUCGCAUGAAGACACUGUUUUGAAAGAUGGAAAAUCGAUCAUGUUUUACUUUGCUGUAAAGAUGAAGUGGGUGAUGUCAUUAAGACAAGAUGUGACAUUGUGUCAACAUUAAUGAACAUUCCACGCUUUAUUUGUGGCAUGAUGGAGCAGAUGAUGAAAGGACCUUUCAGUGCUCUUAGUUUGGUGGCCAUUUUUUAUUUCUUAGCUGUUAAGACUGGGUGAUUGUAUUUGAAGUCAUCUGCAUUUCAAUGUAACAUCAGAUUAUAAAUGCCUUCUUGGAUCCUGCAAUUAAUUACAUUUUUGAUGAUUGGGUUUCAAAGGAAUGGAUGUUGAAAGUUUUACUCUUUUUUUUUUUGUUGCCUCUUGGAGCUGUCGGAUGUGCAAGCUUAUCCAUUUUAUGUAUAGAAGAUCACUGCUUGUACUGUUUAAAUUCAAUUAUCCAAUAAAAUGAUUGCUUUGGAGUGUGUGUGUGUGUGUGUGUGUGUGUGUGUGUGUGUGUGUGUGUGUGUGUGUGUGUGUGUGUGUGUGAGAGACAAUAGUAAUGUAGCAAAUACAUUUCUAAAAAUGCGAUCUAUGACUUUUUUUUAUAGGCUAUAUAAAAAUCUGCAAGUUCUGACGGU